GUGCCAGCCGCCGCGGUAAAACCAGCACCUCAAGUGGUCAGGAUGAUUAUUGGGCCUAAAGCAUCCGUAGCCUGCUUUAUCAGUUUUCGGUUAAAUCCACACGCUCAACGUAUGGGCUGCCGGGAAUACUGUAAAGCUAGGGAGUGGGAGAGGUAGACGGUACUCGGGAGGAASRGGUAAAAUCCUUUGAUCUCUCGAUGACCACCUGUGGCGAAGGCGGUCUACCAGAACACGUCCGACGGUGAGGGAUGAAAGCUGGGGGAGCAAACCGGAUUAGAUACCCGGGUAGUCCCAGCUGUAAACUAUGCAAACUCAGUGAUGCAUUGGCUUGAUGCCAAUGCAGUGUUGCAGGGAAGCCGUUAAGUUUGCCGCCUGGGAAGUACGUACGCAAGUAUGAAACUUAAAGGAAUUGGCGGGGGAGCACCACAAGGGGUGAAGCCUGCGGUUCAAUUGGAGUCAACGCCAGAAAUCUUACCCGGAGAGACAGCAGAAUGAAGGUCAAGCUGAAGACUUUACCAGACAAGCUGAGAGGUGGUGCAUGGCCGUCGCCAGCUCGUGCCGUGAGAUGUCCUGUUAAGUCAGGUAACGAGCGAGAUCCUUGCCUCUAGUUGCCACCAUUAUUCUCAGGAGUAGUGGGGCGAAUUAGCGGGACCGCCGUAGUUAAUACGGAGGAAGGAAGGGGCCACGGCAGGUCAGUAUGCCCCGAAACUCUGGGGCCACACGCGGGCUGCAAUGGUAACGACAAUGUGUUCCGAAUCCGAAAGGAGGAGGUAAUCCUCAAACGUUACCACAGUUAUGACUGAGGGCUGCAACUCGCCCUCACGAAUAUGGAAUCCCUAGUAACUGCGUGUCAUUAUCGCGCGGUGAAUACGUCCCUGCUCCUUGCACACACCGCCCGUC
rnacentral:rRNA from 1 species